rnacentral:rRNA from 1 species
AGAAUCAACGCUGGCGGCGUGCCUAACACAUGCAAGUCGAACGAGAAAGUGGAGCGAAUCCAUGAGUAAAGUGGCGACCGGGUGAGUAACACGUGACUAACCUACCUUCGAGUGGGGGAUAACCUCGGGAAACCGAGGCUAAUACCGCAUAACAUCGCAAGAUCAAAGCAGCAAUGCGCUGGAAGAGGGGGUCGCGGCUGAUUAGCUAGUUGGCGGGGUAACGGCCCACCAAGGCGAAGAUCGGUA